CUAAGUAUGAAAGAGAUGCUAAGAAGUAUUGGGAUCAGUUCUACAGGCGGCAUCAAGAUAAAUUUUUUAAAGAUCGACACUACCUGGACAAGGAAUGGGAUCAAUACUUCUCUAGAAGCGGAAGAAAAGUUAUUUUAGAGGUUGGUUGUGG